UACGUAGGGUGCGAGCGUUAAUCGGAAUUACUGGGCGUAAAGCGUGCGCAGGCGGUUUGCUAAGACCGAUGUGAAAUCCCCGGGCUUAACCUGGGAACUGCAUUGGUGACUGGCAGGCUAGAGUAUGGCAGAGGGGGGUAGAAUUCCACGUGUAGCAGUGAAAUGCGUAGAGAUGUGGAGGAAUACCGAUGGCGAAGGCAGCCCCCUGGGCCAAUACUGACGCUCAUGCACGAAAGCGUGGGGAGCGAACAGG
rnacentral:rRNA from 1 species